rnacentral:misc_RNA from 1 species
AAAGUCGUAACAAGGUUUCCGUAGGUGAACCUGCGGAAGGAUCAUUACCGUGGGGGUGAUUCCCCAUCGAGAUAGCACCCUUUGUCUAUGAGUACCUCUUGUUUCCCCGGCGGGUGAUUCCGCCAACGGGGACCCCAUAAACCCUUUGCAGUUGCAGUCAACCUCUGAUACAACCAAUCAUUAAAACUUUCAACAACGGAUCUCUUGGCUCUG